UACACAGCAUUCUAGCUUGAGUGUUCGAGCCAAGACGUAGCAACUCGAAAACUGUUUUUUUUUAUCGAUGAACGAUUAAUAGCUUUGUUUGCGCUUCUCUUUCAAUGCUCAUUGUCGCACACAUACGCUGAAUGAAAUUUCUCGAAACAGGCUUGUGACAUAUACUAGUUGAGUAGGUACGCUGGUUCCUACAUCUGUUUCGGAUGCAUUAUCAUCUGUUAGUUAAGUACCAUACAAUGUAGUAUCACCACUCUUACUGAUUAUCACUCGCAUUCAGACGUCUUCCUUAUCAUGUAACGCGUCAAGUAACGAAAUCUUGCGGCAGCAUUCUUAGAAGCUUGUAGUACUGCAAUUUAGGUAUUUCGUAUUUACAACAGAUAUGCUGGUAUAUUGAGGUGAAAUAUAACUCCAGUUGAUAAUUUGAUGAGCUGAGAUAAGACGUUUUUGCAAUUUAACGCAUUGGGAUGUGUUGCCCCUUCUCUACCUUUUCGCAGAAAAAAACCCAGAGAUUAAAAUUAACGUAAAAACGUGAUCUUUACACAUUGAGCACUGCGCAGAAAUCUAGCCGAGAAACAUCGUAAUUCGGCACUCUUUAUCUCAAAAUUCGCUGGACUAAAUUUUACACAUUUAAUAUCUUUGAGUUAUCGUACCGAGUUUGUAGCUGUGCUUUGGUCAAAGCCCAAAAAUUCUCGGUUGGCCGUGCCUUAGGGCAAUUGGCGGAUUCAUGUUUUUCGGCACAGAACAGACGUUUUGGAUUUGGAAACCCCACUCGUGUGUCUUUGGCGUAAUGACAUGAUGCCAAAUCGGGCCAAAAUAUGACGGGUCCAUCAUGCUGGUUGAUCAUCGGCAAUAAACGCUUCUGGAGGCAUUCCUUGAUAUAGUUCUGGGUGUUCAUUGUUUCCGAUAUGACGUAUUGGCUACCACGCCAUCCCAUUUUACCAAAUUUUUCGGUGAAAAUGGCCUUCCGUCCUUGUCACUGAACUGAAUUUCGAACCCAAAUGUGCCAUUGAACGCACUCACGCAAUGACAGUUGUAGGAUUCGGAGAUGAGUUCGAAUGUAGGUGAGAAGUGAUCUUUACAGUCUAGGCGGGAAAAAUAAAAUCGAGUUAGCAUUGUAAACAAAACAAAGACAGUGGAAUUUCAAUUGAAGUAGUUUGGUGAUCCGAAGAAAGAAACUAAGGCUAAUUAGUGCACAGUAGUUAUUGUGAAAUUUAUAUACUUGCCCCAAAUUUACGUGCUAAGGUAGGCCCGGAAUGAAACUGGAAUUGUGUAGCAUAAAUUCUAAAUAAAAAUUAAUCUCUAUCUAGGCAGUUGCAAGUACUUAUUAGUACAGAAGGGUGCGAAGUAAAAACUGCGCAGGAAAGUUGAACCAGGUAUGCUUAUGCUUAGAUAUGAAAAGUGAUUACUCCUAAUGUGCGAAUGUUCGAUUCAGGUCACAAUACCACGCAGCGAAGCGUUUUUCAAUUCGGAAUCGCCAUAUCAAACCAAACUCCUACUAAGGUGAGAAAUCGAUAGAAAAAUUAAGUUGAUUUAUCUCUAACCUAGGUCUUUUAAGGUGUAGGGAAUAGCGGAAGCGAAAGGCUGAAAUCGAGGCAGAAUAAAACGGUAGAAGGUUCACUAAACGUAAGAAAACAAAUUACAAUUUAGAAUUUAUUGUACCUAAUUGUAAUUAAUACCGUAGGAAUUUAAAACGUGUCCCGGUAGAGCUUCGAACGGACAAAUAAAAGGGAACGUUACGAAUUUGAAAACGAACUUUCAUUGUUACCGCGAUCCGGAAGUAACAAACUACAUUUUAAAUUCGUUUAAGAAAAUGUCCGAAUCGCCAACAACGCGCAACGGGAAGAGCGGUCCUGCAACACUCACCUGUCCGGGUCCAGCGCUGUCCUGUUUCGCUAUGUUCCAGUCGUGGUGCAUGGAAACGGGAUUGUGAUCCAAUGCUACGCCUUCUUGGAUGACGGAUCCUUGCUAACGCUUAUGGACCAAGACCUAGCAGAUGAGCUGAACCUAAAAGGAGAACUUCGUCCCUUGGGCCUCAAGUGGACUGGAGGCACAUAUCGAACAGAGGCCAACAGUCAAAUCGUCAGUUUGGAUGUGUCCGGACUUAAAGGAAAGCGGUAUCACCUGGAGGAUGUAAGGACAGUGGAGGAGCUGCAACUGCCGUCUCAAACGCUCGACGUGACGCAGCUUCAGAGAGAUAACCCCUAUCUACGAGGAAUUCCCGUAGAUUCGUACACCGAUGUUCGACCUCGCCUGCUAAUCGGAGUGCAACACGCUAACGCGACGUUGGUCAGGAAGAGUCGAGAGGGCGAAUCCGGUCAACCAAUUGCAGUUAAGACCAACCUGGGGUGGACGAUCUACGGAGGAGUGCCGACGGGAGAGUCGCAUAGUAUGGUGCACUAUACCUACCACGUUUACGCCUGUGACUACCAGAUGCAAGACGAUGCUGACGGGAAGCUGGACCGCGCGGUGAAGGACUUCUUCUCUCUUGAGAGUCUAGGAAUAACAGCACCCACUAAGACGAUGCGCUCCGCCGACGAUGAGAGGGCCCUCAAGCUGUUACGUGAGCUAACCAAAUUCGAAGGCGAGAGAUAUACAACCGGCCUGCUCUGGAGAUACAACAUCACGCAUCUGCCAGACAGCAAACCGAUGGCGCUGAAGCGGUUUUUGAAUCUCGAGCGACGCAUGGCGAAAGACCCGGAGCUGAGGGGAGUACUGCAGCAAAAACUGGCUGAUUACGUCACCAAGGGCUAUGUUCGGAAGCUUACGAAGGAGGAACUGGAGGAAAACCACGAGCGUGUCUGGUACUUACCAGUUUUUCCGGUCAUCAACCCCAAUAAGCCAGGAAAAGUUCGACUCGUCGGGGACGCCGCAGCAACAACGCAUGAAGUGUCGCUGAACUCUUUACUACUCACGGGACCGGAUCUUACCACUCCGCUGGUUUCCGUGCUCUUCAAAUUUCGCGAACAUCGAUUUGGUAUUUGUGGCGACAUCAGGGAGAUGUUCCACCAGGUUGGAAUUAGAGGCGAAGACCAGCAUAGCCAGCGAUUUCUGUGGCGAGAUGAGAGAGAGCUAGGUGAACCCAGUGUUUACGUUAUGCAGGUGAUGACGUUCGGGGCGUGCUGUUCUCCUUCAAGUGCACAGUACGUGAAGAACAUGAACGCGGAACGUUUCAGCGAGCAGUUCCCAGCGGCCUCUGCGGCCAUAGUGCAGUGUACGUAUGUCGACGACAUGUUGUGUAGCACAGAGACCGAAGAGGAGGCGAUUGAGUUGGCGAAGACUGUUUGGGACAUCAACAAUCGAGGCGGGUUUGAAAUCCGCAAUUGGAUGUCCAACUCCGUUGGCAUACUAUCAGCGCUUCGUGGAGAUUCCUGUGCAGAGAAAAGCCUCGACCUGUCAUCCAGCCUAGCGACCGAGAAGGUAUUGGGAAUGUGGUGGUGUACUAAGACCGACUGUUUCACCUACAAAAUCAACUGGGAUCGGCUAGGACGUGAGCUGCUGGAAGGCAAUCGUUGCCCUACGAAACGUGAGGUACUCCGCAUCCUGAUGACCAUCUACGAUCCUCUAGGUCUCAUCGCGCACUUCCUAAUGUUUCUCAAGGUACUGCUACAGGAGAUCUGGCGGACCCGAGUAGGCUGGGACGAAAACAUCGACGAUAAGUGCUUCGAAAAGUGGCGAAAAUGGCUGCAUCUUCUUCCGGACGUUGAGAACGUCAGUAUUCCGCGGUGCUACAGGAUGUCUUCAUCGAUCGGUCAUCACACCGAGAUCCAGUUGCACACCUUUGUCGACGCUAGUGAAAAUGGCACGGCGGCAGCUGUUUAUCUCCGAUUCGUGGAAGGCGACAACAUCGAAUGCAGUCUCGUCACCGCUAAGAGUCGUGUAGCACCACUCAAGUAUCUCUCGAUUCCGAGGCUCGAACUUCAAGCGGCAGUAAUUGGAGCCAGAUUAGCUGCGUUUGUCAUGCAGGGACUAUCAGUCAAGGUUGCCCGUCGAGUUUUUUGGUCAGACUCCCGCAACGUUAUCGCCUGGAUACGUGCCGACCACCGCAAAUACAACGCAUUCGUCGCCGCGAGAGUCAGCGAAAUCCUAGAUCUCACGAGCGUAUCGAGCUGGAAGUGGGUCCCAACGAAGUGGAAUGUGGCGGACGAAGGCACGAAGUGGCAGUGUCAACCCUCCCUUACGAACGACAGCCGCUGGUUCAAAGCACCAGAAUUCCUGUGGCAAGCAGAAAAAGAAUGGCCAGAUACCCCGGAAAAACUGACAGAACCGGUGAAAGAGCUGAGAGCGUGCGUCAACGCGCACUUCCAAACGGAAAGCGAGAUCAUCCCCGUUAAAGAUUUCUCAACCUGGAGACGAUUGGUCAACACAACCGCCUACGUUUUUCGGUAUCUACGCCAGCUUCGACCAAAGAAAUUCACCCGCACCAUCGAAAUCCUUUCGAGCGAGGAGAUACACCAAGCUGAGGACUACCUUCUCCGCACCGCACAGCAUGACGUCUUCCGAACCGAGCUAAACAUUCUCCGACGCGACGACCGCAACGCAACGAUUCCCAAGCAAAGUCAGCUGUACAAGCUCAACCCGUUCAUCGAUGAAAAAGGAUUGCUGCGCAUGCACGGCAGGACUGGAGCGUGCAAGUUUCUAGCAGUGGGAAUCGCCAACCCUAUUAUCCUUCCGCGCGACCAUCCGAUAACGAAUCUCAUCGUUGAAAGCUACCACCAGAAGUUUCAUCAUCAAAACCACGAGUCAGUCAUCAACGAAGUUCGCCAGAAAUACUGCAUCAGUUUUCUACGCAGAGUAUACGCCAAGGUCAGGUCUAACUGUCAACGCUGCAAGCUGCGGGAAGCUCGUCCCCGACCUCCAGCAAUGGCUGACCUACCAAAGUGUCGACUAGCAGCUUUCGUUCGACCGUUCACACAUACCGGCAUCGACUAUUUUGGACCGAUGGAAGUGGCUAUAGGGAGAAGGGUUGAAAAAAGGUGGGGGGUUUUAUUAACUUGUCUCACUAUUCGCGGGGUCUACCUUGAUUUAGCUAGCUCUUUAACGACAAGCUCGUGCAUAAUGGUGAUCCGCAACUUCAUUGUGCGACGAGGAACACCUUCCGUUUUCUACAGCGACAGAGGAACUAACUUCAUCGGAGCCGAUCGGGAGUUGAAGCAAGCCCUGCAAGACGUCGACCAGCACAAGAUGGCUCAGGAGUUUGUUUCGGCGACCACCACUUGGUGUUUUAAUCCACCGGCAGCUCCCCAUAUGGGGGGGAGCUGGGAACGACUCGUGCAGUCCGUCAAGCGCACCUUAGUGGAACUGCAGCUACCCCAUCGCCCGAAGGAGGAAGAACUGAGGAGUGCUCUGGUCGAGAUCGAAGGCAUUAUCAACGCACGGCCGCUUACCCACGUACCCAUCGAAGACGACGCCGCACCAGCACUCACACCGAAUCAUUGGUUGCUGGGCAGUUCCGACGGAUUCAAACCAUGGGCCGAACUGGAAGUCAACUCCAUCGCUUUGAGUAGAGGUUGGCAUCUAUCGCAGCAGAUCGCGAACCACUUCUGGAAAAGAUGGCUGCGGGAGUACCUGCCGGAGAUCACCAGGCGUUCCAAGUGGCAUCAGAACGUACCACCGAUCAAAGAAGGUGACAUCGUGGUUAUAGUCGACUCGGAGCUGCCUAGGAAUUGCUGGCCCAAGGGACGAGUUAUCGGAACGGUAAACCGAGACGGGCAGGUGCGUACCGUAACAAUUAAGACGGCGAAAGGCGUCUACGAGAGACCGGCGGUAAAGGUUGCAGUGAUAGACGUAAGAGCUAAGGAGGAGUUUGCUGACUCAGAGGCGGAGUCAGCAAACUAGGGGGGAGUGUCACUGAACUGAAUUUCGAACCCAAAUGUGCCAUUGAACGCACUCACGCAAUGACAGUUGUAGGAUUCGGAGAUGAGUUCGAAUGUAGGUGAGAAGUGAUCUUUACAGUCUAGGCGGGAAAAAUAAAAUCGAGUUAGCAUUGUAAACAAAACAAAGACAGUGGAAUUUCAAUUGAAGUAGUUUGGUGAUCCGAAGAAAAAAACUAAGGCUAAUUAGUGCACAGUAGUUAUUGUGAAAUUUAUAUACUUACCCCAAAUUUACGUGCUAAGGUAGGCCCGGAAUGAAACUGGAAUUGUGUAGCAUAAAUUCUAAAUAAAAAUUAAUCUCUAUCUAGGCAGUUGCAAGUACUUAUUAGUACAGAAGGGUGCGAAGUAAAAACUGCGCAGGAAAGUUGAACCAGGUAUGCUUAUGCUUAGAUAUGAAAAGUGAUUACUCCUAAUGUGCGAAUGUUCGAUUCAGGUCACAAUACCACGCAGCGAAGCGUUUUUCAAUUCGGAAUCGCCAUAUCAAACCAAACUCCUACUAAGGUGUAGGGAAUAGCGGAAGCGAAAGGCUGAAAUCGAGGCAGAAUAAAACGGUAGAAGGUUCACUAAACGUAAGAAAACAAAUUACAAUUUAGAAUUUAUUGUACCUAAUUGUAAUUAAUACCGUAGGAAUUUAAAACGUGUCCCGGUAGAGCUUCGAACGGACAAAUAAAAGGGAACGUUACGAAUUUGAAAACGAACUUUCAUUGUUACCGCGAUCCGGAAGUAACAAACUACAGUCCUUGCGUACAGUGAAGUAUUGUGGCCAAGGAAGUAUAGCUCAAGUUCACAUAUCGUCCAUGAUAAUGCACCUAGAACUUUUGCAAAAUAUUGAAUCAUACAGCUUCAGGGCUCUUGGUUGGACAGAAGCGGCUUGAUUUGGGUUCCUUUUAGGGUUUUCUUCUGCUUCCGGUACGUCUUGAGCCCAAGUCGCUCUUCAGCACGCAUCACGUUUGACGACGAGGUCCCGACUUUUCUCGCCACAUCCUGAACAAAAGCCGAUGGUUUCUGUUUGCAGGCAUCCCUGACCUUCUUGUCGAAAGCAGGAUUUACGGGACCAGAUUUUCGACCUCUCCCCGGUUCCUCUUCAAAUGUACAAUGUUCACCAUAUUUUUUUAAUAGCUUUCCGUACCGCUUUGACGCUCACAUCCUCUUCUUUGUCCAAUUUUCUCAAUGAGAUUCCACUCACAGUAGACAACUUGUGCACGAUACUUUUUCACUUCUCCGAAGUAAGACCACACAUUUUGAAAUGUAAUCACAAACUUAAUAUUUUUUUGAUGUUAUCACGUACAGGAAUGUGUUAACAGAGCACGCAGCCAGUAGAAUUUGAAAAAAAAUAUUCGAUUCAGAAUGACCGUUAACAUUAGGUGUCCUUUUAGUUUCUAAAAAAAAACAAAAAUUUUACUAGCUUUUCUUCAUUGGCUGGAUGCAAAACUUCUACUAACCAAUGUCCAAUGCCGUUGCAUAUACACUGCAUUCUCCGAUGAUGUGUGAGACGGUGAGAGAGUCUAGUCAGAGCUCGUUGUUCCAAUGAAUUUUUUCUGUCCUUCCAAGCAAGCGUAAAGGUUUUGGGUUCGUCGGUACGUCUCGGUGGUUAGCGUGGUAAGACGGUAAUCUCUGGGUCUACUGAUGACAUAGCUUCGAUGGCCAUUUAGGUACUGGGUGUACAAUGUUAAUCUUAAGUUGUCAACGUCUAUUCAGUCAGUUAGUAAAGCCUAAAUCGGCCAAAACGGUGUAUUUUUUUUAAGAAGCAACUUUGAACACUUCCAUCCCAAUCCUGAUAAUGUCUUGCACAGGAAUAUCCGUUGUAAUUCUGUGAUCAUUCCUUCUUUCUGCAGCUAGACUAUCGGCUUUUGUAUUACCAUCUAUCCCAAAAUGUUGACACCUUACCAAUAGGCUAAAUCGUCAGAUGUAAACUAGAUGGUAGUCAAGCUGUAGCUCUAUAAUUCAUUUGACUUCAUCGAGUUGAGUUCGCUGCUAGAUUCUACGGCAGAAAAUGCUCAUAGUGCCCCGAUUAAUGGUGCUCUGUUCGCCCCGAGUCAACCACUUAAAUUAAAAAAGUGUUUUAAAAUGGAAUAUAGUAAAAAAAUUAAUGAUGGCGAAAAUUGAGGAACAAUGUGUACAUCAUGUUGCGUACAUUAUAGAUCAAAAUGAUUUAACGAUCAUAAGAGCUCAUUUUACGAUGCUCAAAAAUUAAAAAAAUUUUGGCACUUAAGAACCUAGUUAGUUUUCAUUUGAUAUUUCUGUGAAGAUGAUAAGGAGAUUUAUUUUUUUGCUGGAAAAUUUAUACUAUAGAAACUACAUAACUGUUCCUAAUGAAAAUUUAUUUGAGAAUAUACCUAGUCUAAGUAAAUCCCACAGGUUUUUUUUUACAAAAAUGAAAAAUAGUCAAAUCCGUUUUAACCUUUGAGAUUAAGAGAAAGACACACAAUUUUCUUAUAAAAACAUUUCACCAAU